rnacentral:lncRNA from 1 species
GAUUAUCUUUUUGGAGUGAUGGGGCAUUUUUAGUAUAACUUAUUAAUAUGUUUCUAUUAUGUAAUUGUUUGAUUAAAAUUUGAAAGAGGUUUGGUAAAUAAUUUAAGGGAUAACUUCAGAAACCCCCCAUGUGGUUUUGUUUUUCUUUUUUUUUUUAUCAAUUUUACUGUUUUUUUUUUUCUUAAAUCAGUGACAAAAUUAAAAUUAAAGGGUACUAAAAUAAAUAUUCGGUAAAUUUAGAUGGAUAUAUGAUGUUUUUUUGUAUAUAAUUUAACGAAAUAUUAAGAGAAAAGUUAUAGAAAAAAUAAAAACAAAACCACAGGGGGAUAAAUUGAUACACUUUAAAUCACAGGGUAUUAAAGUGAGAAAGUUGAAAACCAUAUGGAAAAUUUUUGAAGUUUUUUCUAAAUUUAAAUUGAAAAGAAGUUGAAAAUUGCUACAUUAUGAACU